GAUGAACGCUGGCGGCGUGCCUAAUACAUGCAAGUCGAGCGAACAGACGAGGAGCUUGCUCCUCUGACGUUAGCGGCGGACGGGUGAGUAACACGUGGAUAACCUACCUAUAAGACCGGGAUAACUUCGGGAAACCGGAGCUAAUACCGGAUAAUAUAUUGAACCGCAUGGUUCAAUAGUGAAAGACGGUUUUGCUGUCACUUAUAGAUGGAUCCGCGCCGCAUUAGCUAGUUGGUAAGGUAACGGCUUACCAAGGCAACGAUGCGUAGCCGACCUGAGAGGGUGAUCAGCCACACUGGAACUGAGACACGGUCCAGACUCCUACGGGAGGCAGCAGUAGGGAAUCUUCCGCAAUGGGCGAAAGCCUGACGGAGCAACGCCGCGUGAGUGAUGAAGGUCUUCGGAUCGUAAAACUCUGUUAUUAGGGAAGAACAAAUGUGUAAGUAACUAUGCACGUCUUGACGGUACCUAAUCAGAAAGCCACGGCUAACUACGUG
rnacentral:rRNA from 1 species